UCCUGGCUUAGGAUGAACGCUGGCGGCGUGCCUAACACAUGCAAGUCGAACGGAACUUUUACGAGCAAGGCUUCGGCCAAGCAAGUUCAAGUUAGUGGCGGACGGGUGAGUAACGCGUGAGCAACCUGCCUUUCAGAGGGGGAUAACGUUUGGAAACGAACGCUAAUACCGCAUAACGUAUGGAUAUCGCAUGGUGACCAUACCAAAGAUUUUAUCGCUGAGAGAUGGGCUCGCGUCCGAUUAGGUAGUUGGUGGGGUAACGGCUCACCAAGCCGACGAUCGGUAGCCGGACUGAGAGGUUGAACGGCCACAUUGGGACUGAGACACGGCCCAGACUCCUACGGGAGGCAGCAGUGGGGAAUAUUGCACAAUGGGCGCAAGCCUGAUGCAGCAACGCCGCGUGAGGGAAGACGGUUUUCGGAUUGUAAACCUCUGCCUUUGGUGACGAAGAAGUGACGGUAGCCAAGGAGGAAGCCACGGCUAACUACGUGCCAGCAGCCGC
rnacentral:rRNA from 1 species